AUUAACAUAAACAUAAACAACGACAAUGACGCUUCGAGGACAAGAAUUUGAGAAAUAAAGUUUACUUGGUCUUUUGUGAUGUUCCAAUUCCAUUUUUUUGAAAAGUAAUAUAAGCAAGGUUUUAUAAAAAAAGUGACUCAUCAUGUUAUAGGGUGAUGUUUUCUGAAUGACUUUAUGUGAUAGUGUGAACGUUUUCUGACUGGCAGAAGGAUAUUCAGUUUUCUUUUUGCCCAACCUUGUCAGUCUGGUGCUAAAAAGAAGAGAACAAACAACAUUUAUGUGUAAACACUGACAGUGGAAAAAAAGGACUAGUUUAUUAUGAAUACACCACAUUGGUUUGUGCAGGUAAAUGAUUUGCUGCUUUCUGUUACAUUUGGAGUGCAGUCCAUGUGAUACCAUCGACUUGUGAAAAUGUUUAAUACCAAAUUUUUCAUUCGAAUCAAAGCUGUUUUAUUUGGUAACACUUCUUGUGAUAGUAUUCCGGCUGGUGCUAGUACUUCAAUUUUGUUCUUACAUGAAAAAAAGAAUUGUGAAUUUUAGCAUUGUAAAUCAUGUUAUAAUGUUUUAUUUAUAAAAAUAGUUUUUAAAUUUACAUGUUUUAUAAGAAAUAUUGUAUUGUAAACUGGCUUAAAAUUCAGAAUUUUAGUUUUAAAUAAUGUAUGUUACAUUACAUUAAAAU